rnacentral:misc_RNA from 1 species
UCUCCGUAGGUGAACCUGCGGAGGGAUCAUUACUGAGUGAGGGCUCCGGCCCGACCUCCAACCCCAUGUGAACCGAAACCUGUUGCUUCGGGGGCGACCCUGGCUUCGUGCGAGGCGCCCCCGGAGGCUCAUCAAACACUGCAUCUUUGCGUCGGAGUCUUAAUGAAUUUAAACACAACUUUUAACAACGGCUCUCUUGGUUCUGGCAUCGAUGCAGAACGCAGC